rnacentral:rRNA from 1 species
AGAGUUUGAUCAUGGCUCAGGAUGAACGCUAGCGGCAGGCUUAACACAUGCAAGUCGAGGGGUAUAUGGUGCUUGCACUAUAGAGACCGGCGCACGGGUGCGUAACGCGUAUGCAAUCUACCUUGUACAGGGGAAUAGCCCAGGGAAACUUGGAUUAAUGCCCCAUGGUAUUAUGAAAUAGCAUUAUUUUAUAAUUAAAGAUUUAUCGGUACAAGAUGAGCAUGCGUCCCAUUAGCUAGUUGGUAUGGUAACGGCAUACCAAGGCUACGAUGGGUAGGGGCCCUGAGAGGGGGAUCCCCCACACUGGUACUGAGACACGGACCAGACUCCUACGGGAGGCAGCAGUGAGGAAUAUUGGACAAUGGGCGCAAGCCUGAUCCAGCCAUGCCGCGUGCAGGAAGACUGCCCUAUGGGUUGUAAACUGCUUUUGUACGGGAAGAAACACCUCUACGUGUAGAGGCUUGACGGUACCGUAAGAAUAAGCAUCGGCUAACUCCGUGCCAGCAGCCGCGGUAAUACGGAGGAUGCAAGCGUUGUCCGGAAUCAUUGGGUUUAAAGGGUCCGUAGGCGGACAAUUAAGUCAGGGGUGAAAGUCUGCGGCUCAACCGUAGGACUGCCUUUGAUACUGGUUGUCUUGAAUCGUUGUGAAGUGAUUAGAAUGAGCAGUGUAGCGGUGAAAUGCAUAGAUAUUGCUCAGAAUACCAAUUGCGAAGGCAGAUCACUAACAACGUAUUGACGCUGAGGGACGAAAGCGUGGGGAGCGAACAGGAUUAGAUACCCUAGUAGUCC